CAACAACAGAUGUUUGCUAAUUCUGAGAGGUUUGUUUUAGAUGCAACAAUCAGAGAUCAGAAUCAACAUUUGUUUUUUGUUUUUUUUAGCUCUGACCAAGUCAAUAUACAGACAAUGUUAUGUUUCCCCUUCAUUCAUUAAAGCUACAUUCCUCCUAUGUAUGCUUCCUAAAUUCAACGACCAAAACGCAAGUACGUUUAUGAUAUAUAUACUUUUAAUAAGUAAAAUCAGAUCAAGGUUAGUGUAAUGCACUUUCAUGCAUAAACUGGGCUUAACAUAGUCAUUGCUUCAUUUCUGUUGGAUUCCAGACAUCUGUCUCUAUCAAAGGAUCUGCAGCAUAUAUUCCCCCCCCCUCUUUUAUAUGUUACAGUCCUAAGAGAAAAAAAAAAAAUCACUCAAAAUCGAAUCUCAGAAUCAUCCUGUGAUCAUUCCUAAUAAACAAUUGGAAAUAUUUCUCACUUUCAGUCGUUAAUAGGCAACAUUUUUGAACUAUGCGGUGGCGUUUAAUCCACCACCUUUCACAAGUGAACACAGGCUCCCACUGCGGACCUCCCUCGUAAAUUGUUACACAGGCCUGAGUGGAGAGUCACUUUCCUGUCGAGCUUCACAUCAGGAAGUCAGUUUUGACAGGUCUGAAUAAAAAAAAAAGAGUCAGGAAUCACAGGAGAAAGGCAUUUUAUGAAUCCAGUACGUUCUCCAGUAUCGCAUGAAACAAGCGAGGCAUAGAAGGCGAUGCUGUUUGCUCGUACGGAGCAGUUUGCAGCCUUUUCAUAGACAUCCCAGAUUAGACAUCAGAGGGAUUUUCCACAGAAGAUAAAUCUGAUUUUAAGUCUGUGCUCUUAAUCCAGACUCCAUGGUCACGAGACGAUGACCCGUGACAGUCUGGUUGUGAUUAAACCUUCUGGUAACUAAAGCUUAACUUGGGUAUCGCAAAGUCACUCUCUCUCUCUCUCUUGGAACGCAAUCACGGUUUUUUGUGUGUGAAUUAUUUCAUGUUACUUGUUUAGAUUACAUCCAAAUCAUAAAAUAACAUCCUGCAUGAAUCAUUAAAAAGAAAAAAGAAAAAAGCAUAAAAACCUAAACCUGCUUCUCUUGGAACAUAUGCUUCAGCGGGGGAAGUUCUUUAGUUAAGAUUCAAGCAUUAGACCCGAGACAGUGAUCACAAAACUCUGUUUAGAUUGUGCAAGCAGCGUUUCAGCACUACAAAGGCAGCUACGUCUUUUCAUGAAGGAGUUUACAAGUACUUCCUGCUUUACAGUGGUGCACUCCAGAGAAGGUGAAGGCUUUAAUGUGCAAUUGCCAUCUAACAAAAACACGAUUAUGUCAGAAGCUGCGUGUACCAUUCUCUCUGUUCAAAAGGGCUUUUGUGAUCAUAUAUUUUAAUGUACUUUAUCAAAGAUUCCCUUUUUUUUCUGCUUCUGAACCCUGCAACAAAUGCUGCACCGUUUGAUAUUCGGCGUACGAAUAUGAUCGGAUUUUUAGGUGCUUUCAGAAGGACAAACGGAUCAUCACACCUCUGAUCACAAGCCCAUCGCCUGACAAGUGAACACAAAACCUCUCGGCUGAUUUAUGUUUUGGCCUGUAAUUAAAACGUACGAAUGUGAAAUCACCCUGUCCUCCUGACGUGACUCACAGCAUUAGGAUUUGUCGCUCUUCUGGUUGUGUAAUUGUGGUCCCCGUGAAGUCAUGUGACCGGCGUGAACCCGUUUUCGACUUGAAAACCUCUUGGCUCGGCAUCUGCCAGAGUGACAGCAGUAAUUCUCGGUGUGGUUUGAAAAGGGAUUCAGGAGAAGAAAAAAAAAGCAAAUCAAUCAUGUUGCAGCCUCAUGACACAGGGUGGAGUCACGCUGCUGAUGCGCUCGUUGCGUUGCUGUGACGCUCCUGUGUGUGUGUGGGGGGGGGGGGGACCAGCUGAAUUAACAGUUUCAGACAGAGUUGGGGUUUCGGCACUCUAUUCCACCCACGCACUGUAAAUAUAGGUUAAUGAAGUAGCCUGUAGGCAGACGACAGGAGAGUGCGUUACUACCUUUGUUUGCUGGUGACAUUGCCGCAUGCAGCAUGAAGGGACCUCGCCGGCUCCGCAACCUUUUAUUUCAGCAAUUAAGGGACCAACACUGACGAGGGGGGACCUGAAAUGCAUGCUGAAAUUUUAUAUGAGAGCCUCCCUCCUAACUGCAUCAGCACCGAACCACAUAGAAAGUCGUAUGAAAAUGAAUAGCUGUGAUCUCCAAAUGAAAGGGAGAUCACACUAUUUGCUUAAAGGACCACAUCUAUGCCCGCUAAUAGGUUUCAUUGGCUCAAUCUGUUUUUUCCGGCCCGUGUUUAAUCUGAGGCCGGAAUAGUUUUUUGAAUGGCUUGGUUUGAUUAAAUCUCUAGAUGUGUUAACUGCCAAAACUUCCCCACUCAAAAUGCUAAAAUACUCCCAGUGAUUUGCUCACCACUUUCACGUGAUUUUCCUUAACAUGUGGGUUUUUGAUUUGACUCCGCUGUGUUUGUAUUUUAGCAGCCAUCGAAUGCCAGGCGUCUCAGACGAGCACAGGCUCUCGAAUUGAACCCUGAUGCAGGAACAAGUUGUGAGCAAAACAAAAGCCUGCUACUGAAUGGCAAGGACAUUUAUCAGUUGAGUAUUGAAUAUCUGAGUGAAUCAAUAACAAAUAAACCAAUUAAGUAAACACA